AGCCUGAACGCUGGCGGCGUGGCUAAGACAUGCAAGUCGAACGGGGGUAGCAAUACCCCAGUGGCGGACGGGUGAGUAAUGUAUCGCUAACGUGCCCCCGGAGCCUGGGAUAGCCUCCCGAAAAGGGAGGGUAAUACCAGAUGACAUCACUGCCUCGCAUGAGGUGGUGCUCAAAGCAGCAAUGCACUCUGGGGAGCGGGGCAGUACUACGGAGCAAGUCGUAGUUGGCGGGGUAACGCCCACCAAGGCGACGACGCGUAGCCGAUGAGAGGUUGCCGGACCA
rnacentral:rRNA from 1 species